rnacentral:rRNA from 1 species
UACGUAGGGUGCGAGCGUCAAUCGGAAUUACUGGGCGUAAAGCGUGCGCAGGCGGUUCGUUAAGUCAGAUGUGAAAGCCCCGGGCUCAACCUGGGAACUGCAUUUGAAACUGGCGGGCUUGAGUGUGGCAGAGGGGGGUGGAAUUCCGCGUGUAGCAGUGAAAUGCGUAGAGAUGCGGAGGAACACCGAUGGCGAAGGCAGCCCCCUGGGCCAACACUGACGCUCAGGCACGAAAGCGUGGGGAGCAAACAGG